UUCGCAAUGCCCGAAAGGGUGACAAUGCGACGCCGCGUGAGCGAUGAAGGCCUUCGGGUUGUAAAGCUCUUUCAGCAGGGAUGAAGGCAGAACGGUUAAUAGCCGUUCUGCUUGACGGUACCUGCAGAGGAAGCGCCGGCUAACUCCGUGCCAGCAGCCGCGGUAAUACGGAGGGCGCAAGCGUUGUUCGGAAUCACUGGGCAUAAAGCGCGCGUAGGCGGUUUUGUAAGUCAUGUGUGAAAUCCCUCGGCUUAACCGAGGAACUGCAUUUGAUACUGCAAAGCUAGAGUACAGGAGGGGAGAGCGGAAUUCCUGGUGGAGCGGUGAAAUGCGUAGAUAUCAGGAGGAACGCCGGUGGCGAAAGCGGCUCUCUGGUCUGUCACUGACGCUGAGGCGCGAAAGCUAGGGGAGCAAACGGGAUUAGAUACCCCGGUAGUCCUAGCCCUAAACGAUGGGCACUAAGUAGAGGGGUUUU
rnacentral:rRNA from 1 species